ensembl:lncRNA
CACAGUUCAAAAGCAUCAGUUCUUUGGAGCUCAGCUUUCUUCACAGUCCAACUCUCACAUCCAUACGUGACCACAGGAAAAACCAUAGCUUGACUAGACGGACCUUUGUUGGUAAAGUAAUGUCUCUGCUUUUGAAUAUGCUAUCUAGGUUGGUCAUAACUUUCCUUCCAAGGAGUAAGCGUCUUUUAAUUUCAUGGCUGCAAUCACCAUCUGCAGUGAUUUUGGAGCCCCCAAAAAUAAAGUCUGACACUGUUUCUACUGUUUCCCCAUCUAUUUCCCAUGAAGUGGUGGGACCGGAUGCCAUGAUCUUCGUUUUCUGAAUGUUGAGAUUUAAGCCAACUUUUUCGCUCUUCUCUUUCACUUUCAUCAAGAGGCUUUUGAGUUCCUCUUCACUUUCUGCCAUAAGGGUGGUGUCAUCUUCAUAUCUGAGGUUAUUGAUCUUUCUCCCAGCAAUCUUGAUUCCAGCUUCUGUUUCUUCCAGUCCAGCGUUUCUCAUGAUGCAUAUAAGUGCAUAGAAGUUAAAUAAGCAGGGUGACAAUAUACAGCCUUGACGUACUCCUUUUCCUAUUUGGAACCAGUCUGUUGUUCCAUGUCCAGUUCUAACUGUUCCUUCCUGGCCUGCAUACAUAUUUCUCAAGAGGCAGGUCAGGUGGUCUGGUAUUCCCAUCUCUUUCAGAAUUUUCCACAGUUUAUUGUGAUCCACACAGUCAAAGGCUUUGGCCUAGUCAAUAAAUCAGAAAAAGAUGUUUUUCUGGAACUCUUUUGCUCUUUCCAUGAUCCAGUGGAUGUUAUAAAUCACUGUGUCCUUGCUAUGUAAAAAUGUAACUUUAUCACUAUCUUAAGACUAAAUAAAUCAUAAGAGAAACAUUGGUGAAGGGUUUUCAUUUGUUGGGCUGAUGUAUGCUGCUAAAUCUCCAUAUUCCCUGCCCUUACAAUGAAUAUAACUAGCAUAUAGGAGAAAUAAGUAUUAACCUUUAAGAUUAAUCAUGUUAACCUUAGGUUAAAUGAAUUCCUUUCUUAGCUGUAACCCACUACACCCUCACCCUUUAGGAAUGCAACUUUAUCUGGUACCUUCAGAGGGUGAUGCCUGGUUUAAGAAAAAACAUCCUUGGAAAAAAUUAGUGUUCUGGUUAACUGACCAUUAUCAGAAAGAAAGGGUCAUAAAAUCUCAGCAGGCCUCAUGGCUAGAAGAUGAUGUAAAACCCCUAAGACCUUUUUUUAAAAAAUAUAUUUAUAUGAAGCACUUGAUUUUGAUAAAGGUCAGGACUGCUGACUCCCACGUGACUUUGAAAUUUCCAUUUGUCUCUAUGUGUAACAAAAGGUAUAUAAGCAAACCUGAAAAUAAAGAAAACGGAUCAGUUUCUGCAAAGACUGAUUCCCCCGUGUCGUUUUCUUUCCCCUUCUGGCUGAAUUCCCAUCUGGAGCAUGGAUACUCGGCAAACUCCUUGUCUUGGAGUUUUAUUGGUAUUCAAUUCUUUUUCUCCACUAAUAUUUCCUGCUGCACUAUUCUUUUCUAAUCUCUCUUUAUAUCAGUAAUUAAAUAGCUUUUUCCUAGGACGCCGAUUCCAUCUCCCCUUUGAAUUACCCUGGAUCCACCGGGGCUGGACCCCGGCAGUUGGUCAUAGCUUCUCUUCCAAGGAGCAAGCGUCUUUUAAUUUGAUGGCUGCAGUCACCAUCUCCAGUGAUUUUGAAGACCCAAAAGUAGAGUCUCUCACUGUUUCCUCAUCUAUUUGCCAUGAAGUGAUGGGACCAGAUGCCAUAAUACUAGGUGACCACAGAUAAGAGAUGUCCACUACAGAUCGCAAGUGAUCUUAUAUUAUAGGGGAGAAUUCCAGUAAUACUAUUAUAAAUGAAAGUAAAACUAGUGAUAGUAGUUUGGAGAAGGAAAUGGCAACCCACUCCAGUAUUCUUGCCUGGAGAAUCCCAUGGACAGAGGAGCCUGGCAGGCUACAGUCCAUGGGAUCGCAGGAAUCAGACAUGACUUAGUGACUAAACCAGCCAGCAAAUGAUAGCAGUUAGCAUUUAUUAAGCAUUUCCUUUGUUUUAGAUACUGUGGUAAAUUCUGUACACACUUAAUCCAGUUUUAUAGUUAAAACAACACUGAGGAUGUUUUAAAAUUCAUUUUAAAGAAUAGAGAACCAAACCUCAAUGAGAUUAAGAAAUUCAUCAAGGUCAAUGAUUCAAAUCCAGGUUUGCCAAAUGCCAGCAGCUAUGCUGUGCUCUCUUCUUAACUUGUUCUUUUUUUAAAUUUAAAGGCAAUAUUUCUAAGAAUUUGCUUAAAGCUUCUUUAAAAAACAAGAAUUCCCAUAAAGCAUAUGGUGUAUUAGACCAAAUCAUUUGGCUCAUUAAGACUGUGCUGAAAUCUGUAUCCUAAUAGCCUUUAAAGUGUGUCUACAUUUAUCUCAAAACUAUUAAUUAGAUGAAUUUGCCUUUUUCAGAAAAUGAACAUUCCCCAUUUUUUGGUGUUUUUUUUUUUUUCCCCCAGCCCCAGAUUUCCAAAUGGUUUUCCCUCUUACUUAUCUUCUGUCCUCUUCUGGACUGCUAACACUUUCCGUGAGAAGGCUGUAAAUUCCUCUGCAGCCAUUCUUUGAGCAUUAUCAAGUGAGGGGAUAACACAUUCUAAUUCAUUUUGACCUUAUUGCUUUCCUAGACAUGUGCUAUAUUGUUUGAAAAGCACAGUUUUUCCGAGAAAUGAAGUGGUCUAUCUCAAAUAGGGUAGAAGGAGAUGCGUGGAGAGUAGAGGUGGAGAAGUAUGAAGGAAGGGACACAAAGCCCUGUGUUUGGAGGAAAGAAAGCAGGAAAUGGAAGAAUGUGGUUGCACUCUGUGUGUGCAUGUGACGGUGAGUCAGCGUUCUGGCAGGUCCCAUGUCGCCAUUUGUAUUCUGUUUCUGCAAGUGUUAAGUAAGUAAGUGUAAGUUGCUCGGUCAUGUCCGACUCUUCGUGACGACAUGGACUGUAGUCCGCCAGGCUGCUCUGUCCAUGGAAUUUUCCAGACAAGAAUAUCUUAGUGGGCAGCCAUGCCUUCCUCCAGGGGAUCUUCCAGACCUAGGGAUCGAACCCGGGUCUCCUGCAUGGCAAACAAGUUCUUUUCAGUUUGAGUCACCAGAGAAGCAAGAGUGUUAUUGACGUAUAAUUUAUGUACUAUAAAAUUCACCUAUUUUAAGUGUACGAUUCAGUAAUUCUUAGUAAGUUUUAGAGUCGAAUUGUGCAAACAUUGCCAGAAUCCAGUUUUUAGUUCUCAUUCUAAUCCUGGCCCCAGGUAACCACUAAUUUGCUUUUGAUUUGCCUUUUUCUGGAUAUAAUAUAUGUAGUCUUUUGUGUCUGGUUUUUAAUUUUUUUCCUUUGCAUUUUUUUUGAGUUACCGUAUUGUAGCGUUUAUCAGUACUUUGUUAUUAAUGAAUGGCGCCCCACGGUAUGGGUGUAUUGCAUUACGUUUAACCAUUUUCUAGUUCAUGGAUUAUUCAGGACAUUUCUAAUUGUAGAUUAUUCUAAAUUAUGUGUCUGUGAACAUGAAGUAUAAAAUUAAUACGAUAUAUAUCUCCAUUUCUCCUGGGCAGGUAGCUGGGUAGAACUCCUAGGUAAUAUGAUAAAUUUAGGCUUACUUCUAAAGAAACUUUCAAACUACUUUCAAAAGGGCUGUACAAUUUUAUAUUCCCAUCAACAAUAUAUGAGUGUUCUAGUUUUUCUACAGCCAUGCUAAGACUUGUUGGCCUUUGAUUACAGUCAUUAUAUUGGGUGAAAGUGAUAACUUACUGUAGUUUUAAUUUGCAUUUCCCAAGUAACUAAUGAUGAGCAUUUUUCAUCUGUUUCUGAGCCAUUUAUAUACCAUUUUUGAAGAAAUGUAUAUUCAAAUAAAAUACACCAUAUUAACAGAAUAAAGGAUUGAAUUUUAAGAGUUCUUUUAUAUUUUGGAUUACGAGUCCUUCUAAGACAUGUAGUUUGAAAAUAUUUUUACCCAAUCUGUGACUUGUCUUUCAUUAUUUUAAACUGUUCAUGGAACAGUUUUUAAUAUUAUUGAAACCCAACUUAUUAAUAUUUUCUUUCACAGAUUAUGCCUUGUUGUUGCACCUAAGAAGUAAAUAUAAAACCUAAAGUCACCUAGAUUUUCUCCUGCGUUCUCUAGAAGUUUUAUAGUUUUGAAUUUUACUCUUAAGUCUAUCAUCCAUUUUGAGCUUAUUUUUGUGGGAGUUGUAAAAUCUGUGCCUAGAUUCAUGUAUUUUUUUGCAGGUGGGUAUCAGAUUCUUCUGGCAUCAUUUGUUGAAAAGACUACGUAUUCUCUAUUGCGCUGCCUUUCUUUGCUCAUUUGUCAAAGAUCAGCUGACUUUAUUUAUGUGAAUCUGUUUCUGAGCUGUCUGUUCUAAUACAUCCAUUUGUCUUUUCUUUUUCCAGUACUCUUGAUUACCAUAGAAUUACAGUAAGUCUUAAAGUUGGGUAGUGUUCAUUCUCCAAUGUUAUAUUUCAAUAUUUUGUUGGCUAUUCUGGGUCUUUUGCCCCUCCAUACAAACUUUAGAAUCAGUUUGUCAUUAUCCACAGAAUACUUUCUAGGAUUUUGGUUGGUAUUGCAUUGAAUAUACAGAUCAAGUUGGGAAGAACUGACGUCUUGAGUUUUACCUGUGAGCAUGAAUUGCAAUGGUGCCCCACUCCAGCACUCUUGCCUGGAGAAUCCCAGGGACAGAGGAGCCUGGUGGGCUGCAGUCAGUGGGGUCGUGAAGAGUCGGACACAACUGAGAGACUUCACUUUCACUUUUCACUUUCAUGCGUUGGAGAAGGAAAUGGUAACCCACUCCAGUGUUCUUGCCUGGAGAAUCCCAGGGAUGGGGGAGCCUGGUGGGCUGCCGUCUAUGGGGUCUCACAGAGUCGGACACGACUGAGGCGACUUAGCAGUAGCAGCAGCAGCAGCAGCGUGAAUUAUCUCUUCAUUUUUUCAUUCUUUGAUUUCAUGCACCAGAGUUUUAUAGUCCCUCUGAUAGAUGUUGUACCUAUUUUGUUAGAUUUAUACCUAAGUAUUUCAUUCUUGGGAGUGCUAAGGUAAAUGAUAUUGUGGUUUUCUUUUUUCUUUUAUUUAUUUUAAAAGAUUGGCUUACCACUCUAGGACUGAUCCAGAAGUCCAGCAUGAUUCUUUUUAAAAUUUAUUUGGUUAGUUAACUUUUAAAUUUUUGCUUGCGCUGAGCCUUUGUUACCAUGUGCAGGCUUUCUCUAGUUGCAGCGAAUGGCGGGCUGCCCUUCCUUGUGGUGCAUGAGCUCCCCAUUGUGGUGGCCUCUCUUAUGGUGGGGCCUGGGCGCUAGGUCCUCAGGCAUCAUUAGCUGUGGUACUUGGGCUCAGUAGUUGUGGCACACGGGCUCUAAAGCACGGUCUCAGUAGUCGUAGCAUGCAGGCUUAGCUACUGUGUGACAUGAGGCACCUUCUCAGACAAGGGAUUGAACCCAUCUCCCCAGCAUUGUUAGGGACAUUCUUAACCACUGGACUAUGAGGGAAGUCCUGGCAUUGUGUUUUUAAAACUUAACUUGUUUAUUGCUGGUAUACAAAAAUGUCAUUGAAUCUGUAUAUUAACCUUGUAUAACGAAAAGGUGCUAUAAUCAUUUAUUAGUUUCAACAGCUUAUCUGUUCUUUCACGUCUUAUACAAAGAUGAUCAUGUCAUCCAGGGUCCGAGGAGACAGCUUUGUUUCUUUCUUUCCAAUCUAUAUAUUUUUAAUUUAUUUUUCUUAUCUUAUUGCAUUAGCUAGAACUUCCAAUAUGAUGUUGAAAGGCAGUGGUGGAAACAUCUUUGCCUUAUUCCUGAUGUUUGGAAGAAAGCAUUUAUUUUUCUAUUUUUACGUAAAUAUGAUUUCAGCUAUGUGUUUUUAUAGUAUUCUUUAUAAAAUUAAUGAACUUCCCUUUUAUUUAUAGUUUGCUAACAGUUGUUAUCAUGAAUGAGUAUUAGAUUUUGUUCAGUGCCUUUUUAUGCAUCUGUUGAUAUCAUCUUGUAUUUUUUCCUUCUUCAUUCUGUUGACCCAAUAAAAUAUAUUAAUUAAUUUUCAAAUGUUGAUUCAGUCUUGCAUACCUGGGAUAAAUCUCACUUAGUCAUGGUGUUUAAUUCUUUUGUUGAAUUUGAUUUGCUAAUAUUUUUUUCUUUUCUGAAAGAUUUAUUUUAUUUAUUUUUGGCUGUGUUGCUCUCCAUUGCCGUGCUUGGACUGUCUAGCUAGGCGAGUAGGGGCUACUCUCUAGCUGCGGUGUGUAGUCUCCUCACUGCGGUGGCUUUGCUCACUGAGGGGCAUGGGGUUCUAGGUGCCUGGGCCCAGCAGUUGUGGUUCGUGGGCUCUGGAAUGCUGGCUUGUAAGUUGUGGCGCGUGAGCUUAGCUGCCCCAUGGCGUGAGGGGUCCUCUCGGACCAAGGAUGGAACCUGUGUCCCCUGGACUGGCAGGUGGACUCUUAUCACCUGGGCCACCAGGGAAGCCCCUUGAUUUGCUAAUAUUUUGUUGAGAAUUUUUGCAUCUGUGUUCGUGAGAGGUAUUGGUGUAAGUUUUCUUUCUUGCAGUGUCUCUAUCUGAUUUUGCUUUGAAGGUAAUGAUGUCCUCAUAGAGAGAGUUAGGACGUGUUCACUUUGUCUCUGUUUUGGGGAUGAGACUGUGGAGAAUUGGCAUAAUUUCUUCUUUAAAUGUUUGUUAGAGUUCACCUGAGGAAUCGUGAGGGCCUGGUGCUUUCUUUUCCUGGGAGGUUUUUAAUUAUUAAUUCAAUUUCUUUACUAAAUAUAGGCCUCCUGAGAUUAUAUCUACAUGUGUGGGUUUCAGCACGUGUGUUUCUAAGAAAAUGGUUUAUUUUGUCUGUCAUCACAUUUCUGAGCAUAGAGUUGUUCGGAAUAUUUUUUCACUAUGCUUUUAAUGCUUGUGGGGCCAGGAAUGAUGGUCUGUCUUUCGUUUCUGAUACUAGUGAUUUAUGUCUUUCCUCUUUAUUUUUUAGUUUGCCUGAUUAAAAUUAUCAGUUUUAUUCAUCUUUUCAAAGAACAAGUGUUCGGUAUCAUCCAUUUUCUCUUCUGCAUUCUAGUUUUCAAUUCCACUGAUUUCUGUGCUUUGUGAUUCUAUUCAUCUUUGUGGUUUAUGUCACUAUUAUUUCUCUAUGGUGGCAGCUUAGACUGUUGAUUUUGUGUCUUUCUUCUUGUCUAAUAUGCGCAUUCGUUGCUGUGAUUUACUUCCAGGUCUGCUUCUGCAGUGCCAUACACAUCUUGGAUAAGUUUCACCUGUAUUUUCAUUUAGUUUAAACUAUAUUUAAAAACUGAAUCUUCUUCUUUGAGUUAUGUAUUUGUUUCAUAUAUGUUGUUUCGUCUCUAAAUAUUUUGAGAUUUUCCAGUUAUCUUUCUGUUACUAAUUUCUAGUUCAUUUACUUGUGGACCAGUUUUUUUAUGAUUCCACUUUUUAAAGAAUCAAGUUUGUUUUAUGGCCUAGAAUGUCAUCUGUUUUGAUGAAUGUCCUAUGUGAGCUUGAGAAGAAUAUGUAUUCUGCUGUUGUUGGAUGAAAUAUUCUACAAAUGUCAAUUAAGUCAAGUUGAUUGAUGAUGCUGUUCAGUUCAAUGAUAUUUUUACUGACUUUCUGUCUGCCAGUUCUGUCAAUUACUGAUUGAGAUAUGUUGAAGUCUCAACAGUAAUAGUGGACGUAAUUCUUUCUGCUUUUGUUCUGUAUGAUUUUGUUUCACAUAUUUUAUGCUCUGUUGUUGAGUAUAUGCACAUUAAGGAUGACUGUCUUCUUGUAGAACUGACUUCUUUAUGAUUAUGUAAUAUCCUCUUUAUUGCUUAUAAUUUUCCCUUUUUUGAAGUAUGAUUUUUUAUGAAAUAAUAUUUUUACUCUGGUGUUCUUUUAAUCAGUAUUAUAUAUCCUUUUCCAUUUCUUUUAGUCUAUCUUGCUUGAUAUUUAAAGUGAAUUUUUUGUAGACAAUGUAUCUUUG